GAACCCGCGAGGGGGAGCGAAUCCCAAAAAUAAACGUCCCGGCUCGGAUUGUAGUCUGCAACCCGACUACAUGAAGCCGGAAUCGCUAGUAAUCGCGGAUCAGAAUGCCGCGGUGAAUACGUUCCCGGGUCUUGUACACACCGCCCGUCACACCAUGAGAGUCGGGAACACCCGAAGUCCGUAGCCUAACCGCAAGGGGGGCGCGGCCGAAGGUGGGUUCGAUAAUUGGGGUGAAGUCGUAACAAGGUAAC
rnacentral:rRNA from 1 species